CUAGUAUAAGCAUUAUACCGUGAAACUGCGAAUGGCUCAUUAAAUCAGUUAUCGUUUAUUUGAUAAUACCUUACUACUUGGAUAACCGUGGUAAUUCUAGAGCUAAUACAUGCUGAAAAUCCCGACUUCGGAAGGGAUGUGUUUAUUAGAUAAAAAACCAAUGCCCUUCGGGGCUCUUUGGUGAUUCAUGAUAACUUUACGGAUCGCAUAGCCUUGCGCUGGCGACGGUUCAUUCAAAUUUCUGCCCUAUCAACUUUCGAUGGUAAGGUAUUGGCUUACCAUGGUUUCAACGGGUAACGGGGAAUUAGGGUUCGAUUCCGGAGAGGGAGCCUGAGAAACGGCUACCACAUCCAAGGAAGGCAGCAGGCGCGCAAAUUACCCAAUCCCGACACGGGGAGGUAGUGACAAUAAAUACUGAUACAGGGCUCUUUUGGGUCUUGUAAUUGGAAUGAGUACAAUUUAAACCUCUUAACGAGGAACAAUUGGAGGGCAAGUCUGGUGCCAGCAGCCGCGGUAAUUCCAGCUCCAAUAGCGUAUAUUAAAGUUGUUGCAGUUAAAAAGCUCGUAGUUGAAACUUGGGCCUGGCUGGCGGGUCCGCCUCACCGCGUGCACUCGUCCGGCCGGGCCUUCCUUCUGAAGAACCUCAUGCCCUUCACUGGGCGUGUUGGGGAAUCAGGACUUUUACUUUGAAAAAAUUAGAGUGUUCAAAGCAGGCCUUUGCUCGAAUACGUUAGCAUGGAAUAAUAAAAUAGGGCGUGCGUUUCUAUUUUGUUGGUUUCUAGAGACGCCGCAAUGAUUAACAGGAACAGUCGGGGGCAUCAGUAUUCAGUUGUCAGAGGUGAAAUUCUUGGAUUUACU
rnacentral:rRNA from 1 species